AGUAACGCGUGGGUAACCUGCCUUAUACAGGGGGAUAACAGUCAGAAAUGGCUGCUAAUACCGCAUAAGCGCACAGAGCUGCAUGGCUCAGUGUGAAAAACUCCGGUGGUAUAAGAUGGACCCGCGUUGGAUUAGCUAGUUGGUGGGGUAACGGCCCACCAAGGCGACGAUCCAUAGCCGGCCUGAGAGGGUGAACGGCCACAUUGGGACUGAGACACGGCCCAG
rnacentral:rRNA from 1 species